ACAAUUUCAAAAUUCUUCCUAUCGAUUGCUUGUUCCUUUCUUAUGUUCACUCACUGAGUUUUAUACUCACAUUUUUAAAUUUCAUGUUUUCAUAUUCGAAGGCAGUUGGGACCUAGAUUGAGUUGUCCACGUAUGCUCGCCUUCUUGGUAGGUACAAUGGCAACUCAGUAGUUGUACCUUCACCCACGGUCACUCCGCUGAUGGUCAAGAGUCUGCUACCCGUGAACACUUAUAUGUAAUGUAAUCCGCUAGGAUCCAUGUUGUCAUGACCCAGUACUCCCC
rnacentral:lncRNA from 1 species